CGCGGUCCCCCGAGCCGAGCAGAGCCGUUUCUCUGCAGCGCCUGGAGACGGCCGCCCAAGCCACCGCGGCCCGCGGCCCGCGGCCCUGAGACGCGCCCGCGCCGAGCUCGAGGCCGGCGCUUGGCUCCUCUUAGAGGGGUUGCUGCACCUCGCAGCGCUAUCACACAGUGGCGUGGUUCACGUCGCGGAAGGGCGCAGCCCCAUCUGGUCUGCGGGAGCUGUGUCCACGUUCGCUGCAAGAGGAAGACCCCCCACGAGGGCCAGAGUUCGACCCUCUGCCUCUCCCGACCCGCGGCUGCGACAGCCCCUCAGAGGCGGGAGUUUAUUGAGUAGGGGGUAAAAUCCACGGAACGGAGGCAGAAGCUUUGCCCUAGAAUCCUUCCUACCCGCUCGGACUCGGGAAAUUCCAGGAGCACGCGAUGCAGAACUGACAGCGGAAGAGGAGCUACCUCGGGCCAGCCCAGACCUUGAGCUGAGCGGGGCCACCCGACUACGUCGCCCUGGCUUACAAAGUACUCGCGGACGGGGGGGUGGGGGGGGUGCCACCGGGGCCAAUCAGAGCCGCGAGCCACGUGAGUGGAGUGCGAGCCAACCAAUCAGAGGCCUGCAAAAUGAGCUUCCCGUUCCGAACUCUUCCCUGUAGCCUCCGGACCCAGAUCCCAAGACUGGAGCGCUGCGGGGUGAAAAGGCAAUGGAGAACAUGGCCCUGGGACAACACAGGGACUCCAGAUCAAGUUCCAGACUUUUUCAUCCUUCUUCAAACCUUCACUGAAAACACCACAAGGAAAGAAUAAGACAAAUCCAGAAAUUGAGGUAUUCUAUAAGAAACAUGGCUUGGUCUCUUCAAAAGUCAGUGCUCCUAAAAAAGAAAAGCUGGGAGUUUUAUGCUGUGGAUAUGGUUUGUCCCCUCUGAAGCUCAUCUUGAAGUUUCAUUCCUAAUAUAGCAAAGCUGAGAGGUGGGGGGAAUUUUAAGAGGUAGCCAGGUUGUUUAGAGGGAUUAAUGGAGCUCUGGAUUAGUUUCUGGGAGAGAAGACUAAUAAAGCAAGACUGUUUCUCCAGUUUCACUUUUUCUGCAUACUCUUGCCCAUCUCUUUGCUUGUCUACCAUGUUAUGAAAUAACAUAAGGCCCUUACCAGAAGCCAACAAGGUGCUGGCUCCAUGCUUUUGGACUUCCCAACCUCCAGAACUGUAAGAU
rnacentral:lncRNA from 1 species